GUCUAGAUAGUACAGUGGUCAGUAUCUCGCAUUGUGGUUGCGAUGACCCGAGUUCGAUUCUCGGUCUGGACA
rnacentral:tRNA from 1 species